rnacentral:rRNA from 1 species
AUUGAACGCUGGCGGCAUGCUUUACACAUGCAAGUCGAACGGCAGCGCGGGCUUCGGCCUGGCGGCGAGUGGCGAACGGGUGAGUAAUGCAUCGGAACGUGCCCAGUAGUGGGGGAUAGCCCGGCGAAACCCGGAUUAAUACCGCAUACGACCUGAGGGUGAAAGCGGGGGACCGAAAGGCCUCGCGCUAUUGGAGCGGCCGAUGUCGGAUUAGCUAGUUGGUGGGGUAAAGGCUUACCAAGGCGACGAUCCGUAGCUGGUCUGAGAGGACGACCAGCCACACUGGGACUGAGACACGGCCCAGACUCCUACGGGAGGCAGCAGUGGGGAAUUUUGGACAAUGGGGGCAACCCUGAUCCAGCCAUGCCGCGUGCGAGAAGAAGGCCUUCGGGUUGUAAACCGCUUUUGUUCGGGAAGAAAUCCUCUGGGCUAAUACCCCGGGGGGAUGACGGUACCGGAAGAAUAAGCACCGGCUAACUACGUG